rnacentral:rRNA from 1 species
AGUGUAGGCGGCUAUCUAAGUCGGAUGUGAAAUCCCCGGGCUCAACCUGGGAAUUGCAUUCGAUACUGGAUAGCUAGAGUUUGGUAGAGGUAAGUGGAAUUCCGGGUGUAGCGGUGAAAUGCGUAGAUAUCCGGAGGAACAUCAGUGGCGAAGGCGGCUUACUGGACCAAAACUGACGCUGAGGCUCGAAAGCGUGGGGAGCGAACAGGAUUAGAUACCCUGGUAGUCC